rnacentral:lncRNA from 1 species
ACUUGCUGCAAGAGAUAUUGAUAUUACAUUCUAACACACUACAGUAUACUCUUUCCAUUUAACAGUAUAUUUCAAUUUCAUUGGGUAACAUUGUUUCACAUACUAAUCCAACCACAAACAUCGAGUGUAUACCAUGAAAUUUUAACCUUCAACCAAUCAGACAGAUAGAGAUAUGAGUAAUUUAAGUAUCUUGUUUAAUAAGGUCAAAAUUUCAACAUUGUUUUAUUUCCCCGGUUCUUUACUUCCGCAGUCCUCGUGCUCAGGAAUCAAGAUUUCCCCAAUCAAUACAUAACAAACACGAUGCUCCCUCCAUCCAUUUUUACAAGGCCCAAGGCUGGUCAUAGUGGGGAGUAACUUAGAGUAGUAACAUGCAUACGUUACUACUCUAUGUUACUACCCUUAUAGUGGGAAGUGUCAUAUGUGUAGUAACAUACACAUGUUCAUUUAUUGUCUUGUAGACUCAUUUUGCAUUGGAAAGCGCUAUGUGAUGGUAACAUAUUAGGUUACUCUAUUUGCCUCUCUCCUCAUUAACUACUUGCCACAUCAACAUUUUUGCUUAUGUGGCAUCUAUGUUACUACCUAUGUUACUCCCACUAUGACCAGCCUAAGUUUUGAAUCUCAUACCAAGGCAAUAGCCCAAAAGUUGAAGCAAAUUAGGC